AUUGAACGCUGGCGGCAUGCCUUACACAUGCAAGUCGAACGGUAACAGGUUAAGCUGACGAGUGGCGAACGGGUGAGUAAUGUAUCGGAACGUGCCCAGUCGUGGGGGAUAACUGCUCGAAAGAGCAGCUAAUACCGCAUACGACCUGAGGGUGAAAGCGGGGGAUCGCAAGACCUCGCGCGAUUGGCGCGGCCGAUAUCAGAUUAGGUAGUUGGUGAGGUAAAGGCUCACCAAGCCGACGAUCUGUAGCUGGUCUGAGAGGACGACCAGCCACACUGGGACUGAGACACGGCCCAGACUCCUACGGGAGGCAGCAGUGGGGAAUUUUGGACAAUGGGCGCAAGCCUGAUCCAGCCAUGCCGCGUGCGGGAAGAAGGCCUUCGGGUUGUAAACCGCUUUUGUCAGGGAAGAAAAGGUUCUGGCUAAUACCUGGGACUCAUGACGGUACCUGAAGAAUAAGCACCGGCUAACUACGUG
rnacentral:rRNA from 1 species